UACGUAGGGUGCAAGCGUUAAUCGGAAUUACUGGGCGUAAAGCGUGCGCAGGCGGUUUUGUAAGUCUGACGUGAAAUCCCCGGGCUCAACCUGGGAAUUGCGUUGGAGACUGCAAGGCUAGAAUCUGGCAGAGGGGGGUAGAAUUCCACGUGUAGCAGUGAAAUGCGUAGAGAUGUGGAGGAACACCGAUGGCGAAGGCAGCCCCCUGGGUCUAGAUUGACGCUCAUGCACGAAAGCGUGGGGAGCAAACAGG
rnacentral:rRNA from 1 species